AAUAUAAUAUGAAAAAAUGUGUUACUAUAUUGCAUGAUACUACUUAAUGUUUAUUGAGUGAGCUGAAUUCAUUACACAUAAAUUCUGCCACGGGUUAUUAAAACAAAGAGAUUAAGAGCUUGUGUACAUAAUUGACUUCAGGAUUUAUUCUGCUUCCUUAACAAUGAAAUACAAACUAUUAAUAAACUAGAACUAAUACUCAUUAUAACCACCAACUCCUUAUAAGGUAUGGUAUUGGGUUUGGGGAGGAUAGAAUCUAGUUUUUAACCAAUUGAAUAAUUAGAAACCUGCAAACAUAUCAGUAUAAAAGAAUGUGACAUGAAAAUGUGCCUGAUAUAGCAGCUUCUCCUCACCAGUUUUAAUUUGUUAGAUACAUUCACAUUCUCAUAUAAAACUCUCUGAACUGCUAAGAGAAGCUACCCCUCUCUUUUGGAAAGUUGGCUGCAGCUGAUUCCUCCCAGACUGUGGCUUCCUGAUCAAGGAGGGUCCAUGUACAUGUUCAAUUUUUUUGUUCAAUGCUCUAAUAAAUAAAGUGUUUUGGCUGGUGAUUCCUCAAGGUGGAUAAACAAAGACAAACAAAUUGGUGACCGUGACAUGAUCCACAGAGGAUAAUUCCGACCAGGCCAGGAUUUCCAGCGGAGCAAGAAUCCUUAACACCCAUGAGAUGUGUCUGUGAAGGUUCUCAGUCAUCCAGGUCAUCGUAGUCGAAGGAGCUUGCAUAGAAAAGCAUCUGGACUUCUUUAAGUUGCUUGAAGACGUUUCACCUCUCAUCCGAGAAGCUUCUUCAGUUCUAAGGUCUCAAAUUUAACUAGAUGGAUUAACAGAAGAAAACAUGACGACUGUCAGCCUGGGUUCAGCAGUUCAUGGUUGAGUUUGUUUCCCACACACACCUGAAGAUGAAGGCACACAGAGUAAUCACUGCAACAACCUGCCGUCUCUAAAGCUGUACAUAUGUGUAGAAACUGAUGUAACUAAAGGUGCAGUAGCCAAAGCCAGAAAUCCUCCGAAGGUGGAAACUCCAGACUGAGCCUGGGUGCUGAUCAGAGAUCUUCAGAGAACCAGGUCAAGGCAGAGACCAUUCCAAGUACAGCUGACAACCCAGACAGCCAUUAAGGUCAAAAGUCGUCCUACUUGGAUUCAUGCUGGCUAUCACAAGAAGAUUCCAGAAUCACAGCAAUAACCCAAAGGGUUGAAAGAUUUCUGCUUUUAUGUUGAGAAAGACAACAAGGGUGUACAACGUGCUCUCACUCAAAAGAGUGAAUGGUGAAAGAGCACCCUCCUCCAGUGUGCCAAACUCCAUCUCCGUGGCGUGCAGAGCAAGACUAUGUCACUCCAUGAGGGAUCAGCGAUGAAAUGCAGACAACAUCUGAUUAAACAGUCAGGUGGGUUUGGCCUGAAAGGUUCAGUGUGUUUUUAGUUGAGAUGGUUGUCUGUGUGACACUAAUCAUUUUACAAAUAAGAAACAUCCAAGUGACUCUCCAAGCAUCACAAACACAGAGAAGAUGUACAUGAAUUGCUGAAUGUCAAACUCUUCUCUAGACCUGAUUUUAUUAAAAGUAACUACAGUAAUUCCAGUAUCAACUAACAAAUUGUGGUUGCUUGCUUGCUUUUUGCUAAAUCACAUAGUUAGGGCUGGAUCAGGUGACCCUUAAUCCUCCCUUAGUUAUGCUGCAAUAGGUGUAGGUUGUUGGGAAUUCCCAUGAGGCAAUGAAUUUUUCCUUUCCAGUCACCUUUCUCACUCACUAUGUAUUAAUAGACCUCUCUGCAUUGAAUCAUAUUAGUUAUUAACCUCUGUCUCUCUUCCACAGCAUGUCUUUUAUCCUGUCUU